rnacentral:lncRNA from 1 species
CUUGCUUUAGGAAGCGGAAGACUAAUGACCGAAGCUUCAAGACUUUGACAUGUGUGAAAACAUGAAAUGACCCUUGGCUCUUAUUGUUCUUGCUGGUGUGGUAUGUUCACGGCUGAAAAGAUGGUCAGAAGGGGAAAGGAGGAAGUGAGAAGAAAGAAACAGGGAAAUGACAGAGUGUUGCUCAGUUACCCAGGCUGGAGUGCAAUGGCAUGAUCUUGGCUCACUGCAGCCUCCACCUCCUGGGUUCAAGCGGUUCUCGUGCCUCAGUCUCCCAAGUAGCUGGGAUUACAGACCCUGCAUGUGAUGGAUCAGCUGACACCAUCCAGAUCGGUAAACUGGUUCAUCUGAUCUUGUGCCCUCCACCCAGGAACUGACUCAGCGCAAGAAGACAGCUUCGACUCCUUGUGAUUUCAUCCCUAACCAAUCAGCACUCCUGGCUCACUGGCUUCCCCCAACCCACCAAAUUGUCCUUAAAAACUCUGCUCUCCAAACGCUGGGGGAGACUGAUUUGAGUAAUAAUAAAACCCUGGUCUCCUGCA